rnacentral:rRNA from 1 species
UCAGCAGGCCGCGGUAAUACGGAGGGUCCAAGCGUUAUCCGGAUUUAUUGGGUUUAAAGGGUUCGUAGGCGGAAAAUUAAGUCAGUGGUGAAAUCCUACAGCUCAACUGUAGAACUGCCAUUGAUACUGAUUUUCUUGAGUAUAAUUGGAGUUGGCGGAAUAUGUCAUGUAGCGGUGAAAUGCUUAGAUAUGACAUAGAACACCGAUCGCGAAAGCAGCCAACUAAGUUAUAACUGACGCUGAGGAACGAAAGCGUGGGGAGCGAACAGGAUUAGAUACCCUGGUAGUCCACGCUGUAAACGAUGAUUACUCGAUAUUGGUCUUUGAUCAGUGUCCAAGCGAAAGUGAUAAGUAAUCCACCUGGGGAGUACGCUCGCAAGAGUGAAACUCAAAGGA